UACGUAGGGUGCGAGCGUUAAUCGGAAUUACUGGGCGUAAGGCGUGCGCAGGCGGUUUUGUAAGCCAGAUGUGAAAUCCCCGGGCUUAACCUGGGAAUGGCAUUUGGGACUGCAAGGCUGGAGUGUGGCAGAGGAGACUGGAAUUCCUGGUGUAGCAGUGAAAUGCGUAGAUAUCAGGAGGAAUACCGAUGGCGAAGGCAGGUCUCUGGGCUGACACUGACGCUCAUGCACGAAAGCGUGGGGAGCAAACAGG
rnacentral:rRNA from 1 species